AGCCCCGCCGACGACUUCAGAUCGGUGCACCACCCUUUCUCCGCUCCGCCCCUAUUCCUUUAACUUUUCACCUCUAUCCCUCUCAUUUCACAAAUCUGUUUCUCUCUCCAAUAGCAUAUUUCUACCUCUCUCGUCUCUUUCUCUCCAUACCCUAGAAUCUUUGCUACCGAAAUCAAUGGAACCGAAGAAGGUGAAUGUUGCAAAAUAUGUUUCCAAUUUUUCUUCAUAUAGAGGGAUUAUUUGUCUAUGGUGGUCGUUGCCCUGCUUGCGUAAUCUAAUGGUAUAUUUAUUUCCUCUGUUUGUGUGGAGCAACAAUAAGUGGUUUACGAGGUUGCAGGUUGAUGAAGAAGCUCAUUAUUUGUCUAAUCUACAAAAGCAUUUCUCUAUGAAAGUUUAAACUGUUCAUCAUCUUCGACGGGUAGCAGUAUAUUUUGUUUCAAGGUUGUCUAAGGUACAAUCCAUGGCACAAGAUACAAUGUUGUUAAACUCCCAAAUAUUGAUUUUAAUUUCUUAAAUUUUGAUGGAGAUUCAAGCUUCCUAUCUCAUUUGUAUGGUAGAAACCCUUUAGAUACUUUAAGUUUUGUGGUAUUUUGAUAGUACAUUGUAAAAGAAAAGAUGAAAUGCUUUGUCAAAUUACAACUGGGUUAUCAUCUAUUCUUUUAUUUUUCAUUUUUUAAUUAAUUAUGGAUUUGGUUUUGAUUUGAGAGCCAAAUUGGAGUGAUGUACUUUUUUUUACGGCUGCUGGUUUUAUAGGUGGUACUGAUGACUCCAACUAAGAAGAGACUUAUGAGAGGUUUUAAUAAUUGCAACAAGAUCCACCUACAGAGAGAAGUGAUGCUCUUUAGGAUAACAAUAUAUUGUGGAAUGCUAUCAUAUUUGGGUGAUUUAGAUUGAUAAUUGUAUAAAAGUUGCAUAUGAUUAUGUAUACUUGUAU